CAUGCGGGUCUCGAACUCCAGAACCAUGAGACCACGGCCUGAACUGAAGCCGGACACUUAACCGACUAAGCCACCCAGGUGCCCCUAGUUUGAUUCUCUUUGACGAGCGUGAGAGAAGGCCUCUUGGACCAGCUUUGAGAGUUUGAAAAUUUGUUCAUUCACCAGGUAUUUGUUUAACCAACACUCUGUGCCAGGAACAGGUGCUAGAGAUACACCAGUGACCCAAACAGAUCUGAAUCUGUGCUCUCACAGGGCUUACAUUGGAGCGGGAGGGGCAGAGAAUAAAUACCAUGACUGCAUUAGGGGGAGAGUUACCCCUGAGAAGACGGUGGUUGUUACUGAAACGUACAGCAGAGAAUUGGGAUAGACCCUUCGGAGGCAGGCAGGGAGAGUGGGGAGGGUCUCACAGUGACAAGGUGGCUGGAGAAGCCCUCACAGAGGAGGCUGCAUUUGAGCAAGAUUUGCAGGAGGUGAGUGCACAGGCCCCUCGGGUGGCUGGAGGACCGUGGUCCGGGCAGAGGGCGAGAGAGCGCAGAGCCCCCUGUCAGGAGUGACCCCCGGCGGGUUUGGGACGAACAGGGGGCCUGAUGACUGUAGCCGAGGGAGGAGGCAAGAGAGUCACGGGGCACAAGAUCUGGCUGGGGGUGGGGGCGGGUCUCGCGGUCACAGCGAAAAGACGUGGGCUCUUGGUCUCUUAUUCUGAAGUGGGGACACUGGAGGGUCUUGGCAGAGGGGCGGCUGGAGCUGCCUCUGGUCUGGCAGGAUCACUCUGGCUGCUGAGUGGGUGGUAGGUUAGGGGCCGGGAGGGCAAGGGCAGCGGCGGGGAGACGGGUUAGGCUACUGGGAACACCCAGGUGAGGGGUGACGGUGGCGCGAGAAGGAUCAGUCAGUGGGUGACGGAAGGUUCGGUCUCUGACUCUCCGGGGCCGGUUCUUUCCGGGGCCGUCGAUUCGCUUGGCUCCCGAGGGGUCUGCGGUCGCAGUUGGCAUUCUCGCCACGCUUCGCUUGACACGCCAGGAGCUCGUCACACGCUGGCUGUGAGAACACAGGCGGCCUUUCAGCGUGGGCCCAACGCUCGCUGUCCCGGCUCGGCAGUGUGCUCGGCUCGCGGAAGGGCGCGCGGGCAGCUGGGGCCUCUGAAGGGUGACAUUUGUGAGUGGGAUGGCGGCAAGCAAGGCCCGGUUUGAAUAUGGCAAGGCUGUGGGUGCCCGGGGCGGAGCUGGGGCAGAGGGUGACGCGCGGUCCAGCCGCCACAGCCCGAGGAGUCCCUGAGCCCGUGAGAUGUGAGCUCCACGGUCAUCCUCACGGGCCGCCAUCGCUCAUCAACUGAGGGGAGGAUUUGUCGGGAUCACCCGUUCAUUCAGAACGUCCUUCCACGUGCCAGGAACCUGGAACCAGUUCGCACGGCAGAGGAGAGUGAAGGGUGCACAUCAGCUGACCCAGAGACCGUGGAUUCUUCUGGAUGACCUGGCGGAUCCAGUGGGAUGCAGUGAACUCUUCAAAGUGCUCAGAGUCAGCAGGAGAUGAACUCUGGUCUGCGGUCGCUGGCUCUGAAAACGGAGGAAGGGGCCACGAGCUCGGGGGGUGUGGUGGCCUCUGGAAGCUGGAGCAUCCUUCUCCUGACAGCCAGCAGGAGACCCAGACCUCCAGCCGCAAGAAACUGCAUUCUGCCAACAACCCGAAUGAGCAGGAGAGCAUCCAGAAAUGAAUGCAGUGGCCAGCACCUAGACGUUAGCCUGGUGAGACCUGCCUGGGACUGCUGACUGCCGGACUUUAAGAUAAUAAUCGUGUGUGUUUAAGCCGCUGUUUGUGUGAGUUUGUUACGGCUGCUACGAGGGCCCCUAAGCGGGGAGCGGGAGGAUCAGAGAAGUGUGCUGGGGGGAUGCCGGGUGGGAAGGGCUGUAGGUAGCCCUCUGCACCUGCCCCUGCAGUCCUGCCCUUGAGUGUGGACAGGGUAACUCCACCAGUCUUCGAGGGUGGGCUGGCCCCUCUCCGGCAACCUCUGCAGAGUGUGCUUAGUGUCAAGGGGCUGGAACGAAGCUGGGACCGCCCUCCCUGCGUCUUGUGUGCUCUUGGGUCCAAGACUUGGCUGGAGGCCCUGCCUCUUUUCCCAGAAGCUCUGAGCUGCUGCCUUGACCAACUCUUGCUUGUGUUUUUAUUUUUCUUCGUUUAUUU